UACGGAGGGUGCGAGCGUUGUCCGGAAUCACUGGGCGUAAAGAGCUUGUAGGCGGUUUGUCGCGUCUGCCGUGAAAAUCCGGGGCUCAACCCCGGACUUGCGGUGGGUACGGGCAGACUAGAGUGUGGUAGGGGAGACUGGAAUUCCUGGUGUAGCGGUGAAAUGCGCAGAUAUCAGGAGGAACACCGAUGGCGAAGGCAGGUCUCUGGGCCACUACUGACGCUGAGAAGCGAAAGCGUGGGGAGCGAACAGG
rnacentral:rRNA from 1 species